rnacentral:rRNA from 1 species
UACGUAGGGUGCAAGCGUUGUCCGGAAUUAUUGGGCGUAAAGAGCGUGUAGGCGGCCACACAGGUCUGCUGUGAAAACUCGAGGCUCAACCUCGAGCUGUCGGUGGAAACCGUGUGGCUAGAGUCCGGAAGAGGAGAGUGGAAUUCCCGGUGUAGCGGUGAAAUGCGCAGAUAUCAGGAGGAACACCAAUGGCGAAGGCAGCUCGCUGGGACGGUACUGACGCUGAGACGCGAAAGCGUGGGGAGCAAACAGG